GUUACCAUUAACUUCGGCAGCACAUAUACUAAAAUUGGAACGAUACAGAGAAGAUUGGCAUGGCCCCUGUGCAAGGAUGACAUGCAAAUUUGUGAAGCGUUCCACAUUUUU
rnacentral:snRNA from 1 species